GCGCAUUGUACAACUUCAUAAGCUACCGGCGCAUAGCGGAUUGCUGCUCUUAACUGUCACAUUGACGAUCCAAACCCUAUACAAGAAUGGGAGGUAAUGCUCUUGAAAUUCUUGCAUGCGUAUUUACAUUGUAAUUCUUGAAUGAAAAAAUCAAGAACUUGAAGUUAAGGAACUUGAUGGUAGUUUUCAAGAAUGCGUGGGAGUUGCUGGGUUUUUGAGGGGUCUUGUGAAUUUAAGGAGGCACAAAGGUUCUUGAGGAGUUGGUUUUCAACAGCACCUCAAGGCUGGUGCCACCAAGUUUGUAUACCAUGAGGAUGUGGAGGUUUUGUCUUCCCUGGAAGUUCAAUUGAACUUGUUUUCUCUCGAGCUGAUGAAACUGUUGCUUGGCACGACACCUCAGGUGGGUCUAUGAGAUCUUGGAAUUAAAUUUUUAUUUCAUGGUGUUGCUUCUCCAUCUCAUACUGUUAACUUAUUUGUUUAUGAUUUUUGGACUACCAGGAAAAGGAAAAAAAAUAUGUAGGUCGCUUGAAGAUGAAACAGAAUAUUUGAAGUUUAUGUUCUAAUUGCUUUUCACAUUUCAUAUUGUUUCUUACUUCAUUUUUUUCCUUUUAAUUGUGGAUCCUUUUUUUUGCUCUCACAGAACCCAAAAAUGCUCUUUGCAAGCAAUACAAGCAAUCAACUUGAAUAAUGAUCAUUUGAAGUUGUACCUUCUUUUGAAGAAUCAUCUGAAGUUGUACCUUCUUUUGAAGGAUCACCUGGAGUUGUACUUUCUUGUUGGACAACUUCUUGAGUCCCCUACAAAGGAUCGGGGUAAGGUCUAUCUACCAAUGCUAGCUUUUAAUUAUAGGAUAAGGCUGUGAUGAUGACAGAUGAGGUUGUAUAGACCUUCUGCUUUUCUUAUUCUUAUUACUCUCUCUGCUCCGUUUAUAGACUAUGAGGACGUGGAAGUUUUGCAUUCUGUGGGAGUUCAAUAAAACUUGUUUUCUCUCGAGCUGAUUGAACUGUUGCUUGGCACUGCAUCUCAGAUAGAACUACGAGAUUUUAAAAUUAAAUUUCUAUUUCAUGGUGUUUCUUCACCAUCUCAUUCGGCUAACUAAUGCUUGAAGCCUCGACGGAUUUCAAUGCUUUUGAGCUUAUUGUAUUUUUGCUUCAUGAAGUUCAUUUUUUCUCAUUAAACCACCCUUUUGGUGAAACUACACAUCACCUUCCAGUUUUAUAUUUUUAGUACCCUCUCCGGUAUAACUAAAACUGCAAAUAAACAUUUUCUCGCUUGAGCUGAAAAACUAUUACUUGGCAUGGCAUCUCAUGUGGGUGUGUGAGAUUUUGGAGAAAGUUCCGUUUCAUGGUAUUUUUUCUCUGUCCCACAAGGGCGACUAAUGCUUGCAGCCGUUCCAAGUUAAUAAGCUUUAAGGGUAACUUAUGCGGCCAAUACUUGGGUCGGGCAUUGGAGCUACCCUUAUCUUUGCAAGGCAACCCUGUAAGGCAUCUCCAUUUUGCAAGUGAGAUCUGCAGCCAUGCCGAUUGCUUUGUCUUCUUUUGGCUAGUUUUAUAACGAAUUUAAGCGUUAGGAGAAAGAAUUGGCCUAAUGACGCUUGAAGUCUUGUGAAUUCCCUUGUGUUAGGUCAGCCUAUAAAGGCAAGAAUGAGGCAGCAGGGACUAUGGUAUUUCUUAUCAAGGUUGGUUGCCCUUUUCUCUAUGUUUUGCCUAUGAUUCUCCAUUUUUGAAAAACAAACCAACAGCCCUUAAAAAAGAAAGAGAGAGAGAGUACACUUGAGUUCUUGCCUGCAUUCGUUUUAAGAAAAUAUGUUUUUAAGGAAUUCAAAGAAACAAUAGUUUUCAAGAAUGUAUUGACAUGGUACGGAAUUAAAGGAGAUUCAAGAAACCUUUAAUUCUCCUUUUUGCCUGGUUUAAUCUGAGCCUAAGGAGAAAGAAUUACUCAUUUAUUUUUCAUCGCGUAAUAAUCCACAUAUUAUUAUUUACCACAUUGCAGUUUUUAUGUUAUUCUAAUAGCAUAACUAAUACUUCAACAAGUAAUGUCUUCCUCUCUUAUAUUGCAAUUUUGUGACAUUACUGUAGAAAAAAAGACUGAUAUAUAGAGUGCUUUAUCAUGCUUCUUCACUUUGUGAUGGUCUGGUGAAAGUAUAUUUUUGUGUAGAAACUUAGGUCCAUAUCAAAAUAAAUGUGCGUCCCUUUUUACAUAGUCAAGGAUUAUGAUUUUUUUUUUGAUUCUUGCAUUUAUCUUCGUUGAGCAUUAUAGUAAUUGUGAUUUUCUUCAGCAUGCUGAAGAUGAGUGAAUUCGUUUGGAAGAAUUACGUGAGAAGGCAAUGAUUGUCUAAAAAUUCAUUGAAAUGUAAUUUCGACUUGGAGUCUGUACUUUAUUGUAUUAUCAGGUCCUCUCUUGAAAAAUCAGGACAAGAACCUAUCUUGAUUCUGAGCAAGAAUUGGUAUCUUCAUUUUGAUAGUAGGUAACAUGGUUUGGAGUCUGGUGGGGAAGUUUUGAAACUCUUUAUGAUAGGUAACAUUGAUUUUGAUUUUUGAGUCUUUGACCACUCUUUUUUAGUUCAUGCCUGAAAUAGCAAUUGCUACUCAUUUAUGCUGAUCAAAUUCUAAAUUGGUGUUGGGGGAUCUGCAAUAAUCAUUCUCAAGCUUCAAGAUCAUUUACCAGGAACUUAAAUCUGAUCCAGAGGCAGCUAACAUCUGUCAUGCUUUUUGCGGUUCUGUGAAUUUUGUGUGUUAAUCUAACUGCUGUGGAUCUGUUAGAAUUUAUUCAACAGUUCUCUGAAGAAUGUAUUUGCAACCCACAGCUUGCUGAUACUGAUGGAUCAUCAAUAGUGCCCCUAUUAGUGAAUAAACAAGACCUGCGGUGUAAGUUAUUAUUUAAUUUGUGAAUUUGGAGCUAUCAUGAUGCUCUCUCGCCUCCAACUACCCCCACAUAUGAAAAAGAGAGAACAGGGAAGUAGAAUCUGAAGUUAUUUAAGAUAUUUUUCUUUAUUCUUGUUGCCUUCGUUUUCAUUUUAUAAUGGAACAAUAACUCUGAUAUGGACAAAGUGGAACAAAUACAGAGGAAUGAGAAUUGUGCAUCUUCUCUGUCUCAUAAAGCUAACUAAUGCUUGCAGCCAUGUCAGAUUUGAAAGCUUUUGAGUUGAUUCGUGUUUUGGCUUGGUAGAGACCAAUUUCCUUCCCCCCUAACCCAAACCGCCCUUUUCGUGAAACUACACGACUUCCCACUUUUGUUAUUCGUUUUUCUACUCUUUCUGCUUAGUUUAUGAACCAUGAGUAUAUGGAAGUCUUGUCUUCCAUGGAAGUUCAAUAAAGCUUGUUUUCUCUCGAACUGAAUGAAUCACUGAUCAAAGAGCGAGCAGCCGCCAGGUUUAGUGAUAUUACAUAUGACCUUACAUUUUUCUUAUUUUUAGUACUAUCUCCGGUAUAACUCAAAAUGGAAAAUCAAACAUGUUCUCUAUUGAGCUGUAAAAUUGUUGCUUGGCAUGGCAUCUCAUGGGGAUUUCUGAGAUUAUGGAGAAAGUUCCAUUUCAUGGUGUUUUGAUCUUUGUCUCACAUGGCUAACUAAUGCUUGCAGUCGUGAUAGGUUUCUAAGCCUUAGAGCUGAUUCGUGCAUUGUGUUGAGUUUCUUUCCCACCCCUCAUCGAACCACCCUUCGUGAUUGCGCAUGCAGUCCCUCUUUUUUUAUUCCUAGUGUUGACUUUUCUCUUUUCGUGGUAUUCACAAAUACAUAUUUUAAGGAAAUGAAGAAUUCUUGCAUGAAUGCUUGAUAUAAAAAUCAAGAAAUUGUUGGCGAAUUAUAAGGAAAUCAAAGAAAUCGUAGUUUUCAAGAAUAUAUUGGCAUUGCACAUCAUAAAGGAAACUUACGAAAUCUUUUUUUUUUUUUAAAAUUAUGUUGUUAUUCUUGCAAUCUGUGUUAAGGAUGUUCAAGAAUUUGUUUUUACCUUUUUUAGUUUGAUUGGGAGCAUUAAGCGAAUGCCUCCGGCUAUUUGGAGCUUAACCCAGUUUCCACCAGGUAUGUGUUGCUACAGGCAUUGGGACCUGCUAUGGUAAGGUGGAUGGCAAUGGGGUAAGCAUUACUCGUGCAGUAACUUUUGUUCAAUUUAUUAUAUAUUACUUCAUCAUCUGAAGUUGUACUUUCUUUCGAAGGAUCAUCUCAAGUUGCACUUUCUUUUGAAGAAUCAUCUGAUUCUGAAGUUGUACUUUCUUUCAAAGAAUCAUCUCAAGUUGCACUUUCUUUUGAAGAAUCAUCUUAUGUUUAUUUCUUUUGAUGGAUCAUCUGAAGCUGCACUUUCUUUUGAAGGAUCACCUGAAGUUGUACUUUCUUGUUGGGCAACUUCUCGAGUCCUCACAAAGGACAGGGUAAGGAUCCACCAAUGUUAGCUUUUAAUUAUAGGAUAAGGCUGUGAUGAUGACAAAUGAAGUUGUAUAGGGUUGGGUCUAGCAUUGGAGCUACCCUUAUCUUGGGGAGGCAACCCGUUAAGGCAUCUCCGUUUUGCAGCUGAGGUCUGCAGCCAUUGCACUUGUCUACUUUUGCCUGGUUAAAUCUGAGCCUUAGGAGAAAGAAUUAACUGAAAGACACUUGAAGUCUUGUGAAUAUCCUUCUGUUAGGUUAGCCUAAAAAGCCAAGAAUGAGGCAGCAGAGACCAUGGUAUUUCUAUCAAGGGUGGUUUCCUUCUCUUUAAACUUUUCCUAUGAGUACAUUUUUUAAAACAAAUCAACAGCUCUUAAAAAUGAAAGAGAAAUAGAGAAUACACUUGAGUUUCUGGGUUCUUUGCAUUUUUGCAUUCUUAGACGUAUGCUCAUAAGGCAAUACACACAACUAUACUACAACAGCUUGACUCUGAAAAUUAUUAAAGAGGCAGUGAUGAUUUUUGGGCUAACUAAAUUCGGGCAUUGAGAUUACUCAACCCGUAUCAUUGAGGGGAAACCUGGUAUGGCCUGUAAUUGAGACGCAUAAAUCACACAUGCAAUCGUGUAUUCCAGCCAUGGCGUGGUAUGCUUCUCUUUGGCCUUACAUAACACAAAUCUGAGCCUCAAUUUGCUAAAGAGAAGGGAAAAGGGUCAAAUUUACCUCUUUUUAUGCACAAGGGGAAAUAUCAAUUCCAUGAUUAAUGUGGGAGAUAUUGAACCCAGGAACGUCCUUCUGAUUAGCAAUUUUGAUGCUUUUCAUUCGUAAUGUGUCGUCAUCUUUUGAUAAGUACCAGCUCAAGAAUGAGGCAUUCGAACGAAAUGUUGGAUUAUAGAGGGGUGGUUGCCUCCCUCCUCUUGUAAACCCUAAUUAUAUUUUUGAAGUACUGCAUUUCUAUGCAUCUUUUAUAGCUUCAACGUUUAGAUUCCUCCCACUGAUGGAUAUAUGUCUGCUAAAUGUGGAAAAAAAACAUGACAAUCACUUCUUCUCAGGCUGGUUAUUCCAUUUUUAGGUAUCAAUAGCACUGUUUAUAUCAGUUCUGUGUUCCAUCUUGUUGAAACCAAGAAGGAUUUUUGAGGGUUUAACCCUUUGAAGUGUCAUUGUUGUGUAUUCUCUCUUAAGGUCCAUUUUAUGUUUUAUUUGGGUUGAUUAUAGCCAGUGAAUUAUGAAUUGUAACUUUAAGGGAAGAUCUUUUUUGUUCAAACAUUCAAAUGAGAGGCUCUGAUAUCUAUUUUUGACGUUUCUUUGUUGGAAAUUGUUACUAAUACUCAUUGGAGGCCAAACGGACAUUGUAAGAUUUUGAAGGUUAAAUUUCUUUGAGUUUUAGUUGGUAGUAUUCAUUAAGAUAGCUUUCAAACAAAUACCCCAGUCUUUGUUCUUGCCAUUGUUUACAGGAUGACAAGUGUUUGUACCUUGGAAUUUGAUGAUUGUACACAAUAUAUUGGCACAGGAUACCUGAUACGUGCUGGUUUCGUCUUCUGAGGUAUCCGGUGCUUCUGAGCUCAUCAUUAUUUGGCUUUGCACAGCUCAAUUUUUUUCACUCACCAAACCACCCUUUUGGUGAAAUUAGACGACCUUCCAUUUUCCAUAUUUUUAGUACUCUUUCCGGUAUAACUCAAAAGGGCAAUCAAACAUGUUCUCUCUUGAGCUGAAUAGUUGUUGCUUUGCAUGGCAUCUCAUGUGGGUAUGUGAUUGAAGAAAAACUUAUUGGUGUUCUUUCUAUCUCUAAAAGCUAACUAAUGCUUGCACCCAUGACAUGUUUCUAAGCUUUUAAGCUGAUUCAUGUUUUGAGUUGAGUUUCUUUCCCAUCUCUCACCGGACCACCCCUUUCGUGAUAUUACACAUGCACUUCCUCUUUUCUUGUUAUUAUUACUCACUCUACUUUGUUUAAUACACAAUGAGGAUUUGGAGGUUUUCAUCUAUUGAUGUUCAAUCAAACAUAUCUCAUGUCGAACUAAGAAACUGUUGCUUGGCACGGCACUUCAGGCGGGUCUAUGAGAUUUUGGGAAAUGUUCCUUUUUUGGGAUUGCAUGCAUUACUCAACUAAUAGGCUGUUUGACGGUUUUGUUCAUUAUCUUACUAAUAUCUUUUUUUUUUUAAGAUGUUCUUUAUUUAUUAUUUUGUGGUUUUACUUGUAAUUGGGAGAACUGGUACGACUGUACACAACACAAAACAUUAACGCUUACAUUUUAUUGCAAGAUGUUUAUGUAUAUCACAUUCCUGGUACUUCAUUUCCGAUAAAAUACUACCGUGUCUAAAAAAAAUAGGGAAGGGCCGGAGGGGUGUACACACACUCAGAUACAUACAAAGAGAGAUGAAAUAUAGUUUUGUUGCUCACUAAUGUAUGUAGAAUGAAGUAUGGUUGGGACAUACAUUUUGGUGCGUAGGUACUUCUAGCCCAGCUUAUGGAGAGAAUAUGUGCCUGUUUCUUUCAUCUUCUGUUACGUUUCCUUUUUGUCUGGCCAUUUUAUCUUAUGGUUUUGAAUGCUUGCUUUACACCCGUGAUGUUGAAAAUACACCAUUCAGAUGAUAUGCAUGCUUUCCCAGCAAGCUUUGAUUGAAAAGGAGAGGCUCUAAGCUCUUAUAUUUCUAACGUUUCUUUAUUGGACAUUGGUAGUUAAACUCACGGGAGGCCAAAUGGAUAUUGUAAGGUUUUAAAGGUACAAUUCUUUUGAGUUCUAGUUUCAGUAUCCAUUAGGAUAUGUAUGAAACUACUAACUUGGCCUUUGUUCUUGCCAUUCUUUACAAGAUGACAGCAAGUGUUUAUACCUUGAUUAUUGUAGACAAAAUAAUUGUACAACAGGUAAUCUGCAUAUAAGACUACCUGAUACAUGAGUUGACUGUUGUUUACUGAUGAAGGAAAUUUCUAGGGAUUUCUCUUUGCAGUCAUUGUUCGUGAUGCUAUUACAACCAACCAGUUCGAAGGAAGCAAAUGUACUCGAAGUACUUCUAGUUUCUGACAAACAAAUAUAAAAUAUUGAAUUACACACAUUACUUUCUAAAGCUGUACUAUUUCUUGAUUGAUCUUUUUGUUUGCAUAUAUAAUCUGAAAGGCCAAAGGGUGUUGCAUUCUAUGAAAGAGUCUCUGCUAAGAAUCACCUCUGUGCUUUCCAAUGUCUCCUUCAAAAUUUCCAUUUUUGUUAUUUUUCGUACUCUUUCCGGUAUAACUCAAAAUGGCGAUCAAACAUGUUCUCUAUUGAGCUGACAAACUUGUGCUUGUUAUGACAUCUCAUGUCGGUCUGUGAUACUUUGGAGAAAGUUUCAUUUUAUGGUGUUUAUUCUCAGUAUUAGAAGGUUGUGGCUAAAUGAUGCUUACAACCAUGAAAGCUUCUAUGCUUUUGAGAUGAUUCAUGUUUUGACCUGACAAUGUUCAGUUCCUUUCCCACCCCUCAUUGAAUCACCCUUUUCGUGAUAUUGCACAUGCACUCCCUCUUUUGUUGUUCUUAGAACUCACUCUGCUCCGUUUUAUAUACAUUGAAGAUUUAGAGGUUUUCAUCUGUCGAUGUUCAAUCAAACAUAUUGCCUGUCCGGAUAAAGAAUUGUUGCUUGGCGCGACACUUCAAGUGGGUCUAUGAGAUAUUUUGAGAAGUUACAUUUUUUGGUCUUUCUUCUCUGUCUCAUAGGCAAACUGAUGCUUGCAGCCAUGCUGGGUUUCAAAAAUUUUGAGCUAAUCUGUUUGGGCAUCGCAAAUUCAAUUCAUUUGUCGGUAAAUCACCCUUUUUGUUGAACUACACAACCUUCUACUUUUUUUGUUCUUAUAUUUCUCUCUUGUAUAACUGAAGAAAAAUCAAUUUAGCAUGUUCUCUCUUGAGCUGAAAACUGUUGAUUGGCAUGGCAGCUCAGGUGGCUAUAUUAGAUUUAGGAGAAAGUUUCCUUUCAUGGUGCAUCUUCUCCGUCUCUUGAGGCUUACUGAGCCAUGUCAGGCCGAUGCUCGCAGCCAUUGUAGGUGUCAAAGCUUUUGAGCUAAUCAUGUUUGGGUGUCGCAAAGUUCAAUAUUUUUAUCGCUAAAUCAUCCUUUUUUUGAAACUACACAACCAUCUUCUUUCUUGUUCUUAUUACUCUAUUGUAUUACUCAAACAAGGCAAUUUAAUAUCUCUCUUGAGCUGAAAUACUGUUGCGUGGCAUCACAUCUCAUGUGGGUCAUGAGAUUUUGGAAGAAAGUUCCAUUUCAUGAUGCAUCUUCUUUGUAUCAUAAGGCUAUAACUGAUGCUUGCAGCCAUGACAGAUUUUAAAGCAUUUGAGUUGGUUUGUGUUUUGGCUUAGCAAAAUUCAGUUUCCUCCCCCGCUCCCCCAAACAACUCUUUUCGUGAAAUCACACAUGACCUUCCUCUUUUUUUUAAAAAAAAAAAAUUAUUCUCUCUGCUCCGUUUAUAAACCAUGAGGAUGUGGAGGUUGUCUUCCGUGGAAUUUCAAUAAUUCUUGUUUUCUCUCGAGCCCAUUAAAUGAUGCUUGACACCACUCCUCAGGUGGGUCUAUGAGAUUUUGGAAUUAAAUUUCCAUUUUAUGGUGUUUCUUCACCAUCUCACACGGCGAGUUGAUGCUUGUUGGCACGACAGAUUUCAAUGCUUAUGAGCUAAUUGUGUUUGGGUUCGCGAAGUUCAUUUUUUUCUCUUACCUAAUCACCCUUUUGGUGAAAUUGCUCACGUCCGUCCAUUUUUCCAAUUUUUAGUACUUUUUCCGGUAUAACUCAAAAGGGCAAUCAUUUGAGCUGAAAAACUAUUGCUUGGCAUGGCAUCACAUCGGGAUUUGUGAGACUUUUGAAGAAGUAUUAUUUCUUGGUGUUUUUUCUAUCUCUCAAGGUUAACUAAUGCUUGCAGCCAUGAAAUGUUUCAAUACUUUUGAGUUGAGUUUAUUUCCCAUCCCUCACCGAAAAACCCUUCUUAUUGCACAUGCACUUCCUCUUUUCUUGUUCUUAGUACUCAGUCUGCUCCAUUAUGUACACAAUGAGGAUUUGGAGGUAUUCAUCCAUAAAUGUUCAAUCAAACAUGUCUCGUGACGAAGUAAAGAACUGUUGCUUGGCACAACACUUCGGGCAGGUGUGAGAUUUUGGGAAAUGUUCCAUUUUUUGGUCUUUCUUCUCAGUCUCAUAGGCAAACUGGUGCUUGCAGCCAAGCUGGGUUUCGAAGUAUUUGAGCUAAUCAUGUUUGGGCGUCGCAAAGUUCAAUUUAUUUUGUCGGUAAAUGACCCUUUUUGAGAAAUUACACGACCUUCUAUUUUUCUUGUUCUUAUAUUACUAUCUCUUGUGUAAUUUAAAAAAUUUAAUUUAGCAUCUUCUCUUUUGAGCUGUAAAUCAGUUAAUUGGUGGCAGUUCAGGUGGGUAGAUCAGAUUUAGGAUAAGGUUCCAUUUCAUGGUGCAUUUCUCUGUCUCGUGAGGCUGUCUGAUAUUUAGGAGAAAGAGAGCUGCAGCAGCACAUUUUAGAACUCACCACCUCAAAUACACCGAUCGCCUGUUUUCCUCCCAGAGCCUUCACAGGAUCAGCUCUUAAGAUGCCCAAUUCUAGCCUUCUUUUUAAGAAAAAGAUUUAGAACUUGGUAUCAAGAAAGGAACCUAAACACAUUUUCCCCUGUUCUUAUCUGCUGGAAAAUUCUUGCAAGCCUUAUCUAGAAAAAAUCAAGAAUUUUUCAGGAACUUGGUAUCAAGAACUUUGCUUUUUGAAGUUACAUUGGUAUUCAAAAAUACAUAUUUUCAGGUAAUCAAGAAUUUUUGCAUGAAUGUUCUUUAAAAAAUUCUUGAAUUUGUUGGCAAAUUUUAAGGAUAUUGUAGUUUUCAAGAAUAUAUUGGCAUUGCACAUACAAGAAAUCCUUUUUGAAAAUAUUAUGUUAUUAUUCUUGCAAUGUGUGUUAAGGAUGUUCAACAUUUUUUUUUUACCUUUUUAGUGAGAUUGGUAGCAUUAAGUGAAUACCUCAGGCUAUUUGGAGCUUCACCCAGUUUCCAUCAGGUAUAUGUUGCUAUAGGCAUUGGUACCUGCUAUGGUAUGGUGGAUGGCAAUGGCAAGUGUUAGUUUUUUCGACAUUGAUCUAAUGCACUUUGAUGUGCAGGUCUUUCGAAAACAACCUCUUUUGCUACACGAGGAAGUUGUAAGGUCUGCGUACAUACUCCCUCCUAGACGCCUAGUUGUGGAAUUUCACGGGAACAGAAGUGAGCAGUAAUAUGGUGGAGACAAGUAUUAGAGAAGGACGGGUCCUCAAUCCUGCCAUAAGGAAUAUGAAUGUUGAAGAGAAUAAGCUUAUGGUGGCUAGUUGAUUCUUAAUGUUACUUGUAAGAUUGGGGCCCCAUCCUUGUCUUUAUUGAGGUACUAUCGUGAAUAUCUGGACUAGAAGUAACUCUCGGUGAGAGCAAUUGUACCCGACAUUCUUAUGCAACAUCACUUUGAUGUACUGUAUUUGAUGUUAUUUGUACAUUUGGCAUUGAUCACUCCACAUAUCCUUCCCUGUACGCUGUAGCCCCCAGCCUGCCUCCCUAAAAAGAGGGGGUGGGGGUGGGGUGGACAAAUUGUGGAAGGUUGGUUAGUGGAAGAGAGUUAAGAGUUACUUAUGCACAUGGUGCAAAGCAUUUCAGUGUUAUGCCAUCGUGUAGUUUUAUCACUUUCUUUUCUCUUUAGUUACUUUUGGAUAACCUAGAUAAGAAUUUAGUUGUUGAACUAUCCUCCUCAUCUAUUGCUAUCCCAUUUCGUUCUCCUCUAUUCAGAUAUACCUGUGAAUUAUGAGAUCAGGAAAAAGAGGUGCAGGCCAGAGUUGCGAAGCGAAACUGAACUUCCUUCCCCGCAGCCAAAGAAACUGACUGGAUAGUGCACUGUCAGGAGAGAGAUUUGAUCUACACAGAAUAUUAUGUGGGAAGUGCUUCUGAAAAGCAUGAUCUCGAGUCCAAAUUCCCCUUGUCAGAUCAAAAGUUCAAGUCGGUCAAUCGAUAGCUCUCUUGCUCAUUGCAGAGUCUGUGUGAAUCGGCUAUCCAGAAGCUCUGUGCAACACCUUUCAUCUAUACAGAGGAGAUUUUCUGGAUAAGAAACUCAUUGCUCCAGAUAGAUCCAAACAGUUAUAGCUUGCAGAUCAAGCUUCAUUUAUGCGAUCAGGGAGAGGUUGCUGCAUUGGAGAAGGAAACCAUUUAUGCAAAGCCCUAUGCACAGAAGUCUGACCCCUGAUGGAUCAUCCUUUGAUAGUGAUGAAGAUAUUAAGUUUGAAAAAUGUCUCCUGGAUUGUUAGAAACUUCUCCAACUCAGAUCAAGAGAGAGAGAAGGCAGGUUUGGUUGAUUUGCAUCAUAAUUUCAGAUUCCUGCUGCUCUGUUUUGGUAGGAUCAGCUUGUUCAGGUUUAAUGCAUGGAUAUAGAAGCCAACCAACUGAAGAAAAUUAAACGUGUGUGGCUGUGUUUGUUUGUAAAACAUCACUUACAGUAGUAUCUGAUGGAUGUUUUGGACACUACUUUGGUUAUGGUAUGGAGUACCAGAGGGGCUUUGCAGCUUUGUGGGGUUCUUUGAGGGAUUCCGGGAUGCACAAUUUCACUUCUAAUUGUAACUGUACCCGAAGAGCACGGAAACAUCCACGUGGCAAUACUAUUUAGUUUAGUGCUUUUUAGAAUCAAUUGGAUUAAGUUGGGAGUGGAAACAAAUCUCUACGAGGAAAGAAUGUUUGACGAAGGGAAAUCAGAUGUUAGGCACUGGCCUAUUCAACAACAGGAAACAGAAUGUCUUCAGCUAGACAACACUUAUGUUGGGAGGGGGAGGUCAAGUGAUGAUCUCACUGCAUAUGGACUCAUAUCUGAAUUUUUGAGGUGGUUUAGUUUUAGUGAGUUUAUCUUCACUGAUGAGUAUCAUCUUGUUCAGGUUUGUCUACUGUUUUUGCCUUUGCGAUGUAGUUUCUAGUUCACGUUUUGAUGAUUUAAUCGGCUUUUUCGGAACUCCAACUGUGCUUAGGAGGUUGCUUACCAACUUUAAAAUAGUCAUAUUAUGAUGAAUCCUCAUAGUAUUUGUUGAGAUGAUGUCCUAAUGAAAUUGUCCCUACCAGAGUGAAAUACACCUGACUUUUAAAUGUGGUUUUGAACGAUCGAUUGGAUGGGGAACUUUCGGAGUUCCUUUGUUUUGCUUUUAGGUGCUAUCGUGGAAUCUUAGCUGACAUUAAGAAGGGAAGUAAACUCACUAUAUUCUGUUAAAGGUAUCCUCUUCCAAUAUUUGCCUUUUCUAUCUUUCUUUGAUCCUUUUUUCCUUGUUGACAUCAGUAAAAUCAUCUUUACCCCUCUAGAUUUGGAGCUUGAGGUGCUGCUGCAGCGUGCUAUCAAUUACAUUAUCAAACUUCUUCAAAAAAAUCUCCAUAUUUGCAAAUUCUUUGCACUUAUAGUUUAAAUUGGAAGUACUCUUGAACUUGUAGCUUAUUUUUCAAAUAUCUCAUUUAAGUACCUUGACCCAGUAAAAUUCUACAAUGCUACACUAGUAGGUUUAUACAUGGCUAGCCAACAAAAUUAUGAAGUGUGAGGCUGUGUGUUUGAAAAACGUCAUUAGUCAUUACACCUGUUGUGAAAAGUCUUUUGAGGUUCAACUUGCAUGCAUUUGAGAAUCAUUUAUUUAUGAAUUUUCGACUACCAGGAGAAGGAAAAAAAUAUGCUGCUUGAAGAUGAAAGUGAAUAUUUGAAGUUGAUGUCCUCUUUUGUUUUUUCACAUUUCAUAUUGUUUCUUACUUCGUUUUUUUCCUUUUAAUUGUGGAUCCUUGUUUUUGCUCUCUCAGAACCCAAAAAUGCUCUUUGCAAGAAAUACAAGCAAUCAACUUGAAUAAUGUAAUCUUUUAGCUUAGUGCUGUUUAGCUCUAACGUACGAUAUUUCAUUCCUCUGCAAAAGGAAGUUUAUGUCUUUAUCCCCAACACAUUCACAGGGAAAAAGGGAAAGAGAAGAAGUAGAAACCACUCUUGAUAAAAGAAAAUGAUACUCCAUUCCGAUGCACUGUAUCAAAAUCAGUCAAUUUACUGCAAACAAUUUGUUCUGAUGUUACAGGUCAACUUACAGUUUACCGAGAAUGCACUUCUAGUUAUUGUUGAGGAAGGCAUUGCCAAAAGCACUGGUGCACAAGGCUCAAGAUCUAUACUAAGAAAUUAUUGUGACUGAAGCCAUGUUUGAGGCUGCUGACUUAAAUGUCGAAGCAACUCAGCAAGGGGUUGUCUACAUAGAUGAAGUUGAUGAAUAGCCAAAAAGUUCAAAAAUUAUUAUCUACAUGGAUAUGGAUAAUCGACUUUGAAGUCAUCCUUAUAAUUAGUCACCUGUUUAGGCUGAGACCUUAACAUUUGCAGAGAUGUAUCUGAGGAGGAUGUCCAACAGGCGCUGCUGAAGAUGCUUGAAGGAACUAUUGUAAGUGUACCUGACAAUAGAGCAUGGAAGCUUCCACGUGGCGAUACUAUUCAGAUAUAC